rnacentral:rRNA from 1 species
CUUAAGAAAUUGGCGGGAGCGCCGCACAAGCGGUGGAGCAUGUGGUUUAAUUCGAAGCAACGCGAAGAACCUUACCAGGUCUUGACAUCCUUUGACCACUCUAGAGAUAGAGCUUCCCCUUCGGGGGCAAAGUGACAGGUGGUGCAUGGUUGUCGUCAGCUCGUGUCGUGAGAUGUUGGGUUAAGUCCCGCAACGAGCGCAACCCUUAUUGUUAGUUGCCAUCAUUUAGUUGGGCACUCUAGCGAGACUGCCGGUGACAAACCGGAGGAAGGUGGGGAUGACGUCAAAUCAUCAUGCCCCUUAUGACCUGGGCUACACACGUGCUACAAUGGGAAGUACAACGAGUUGCGAAGUCGCGAGGCUAAGCUAAUCUCUUAAAGCUUCUCUCAGUUCGGAUUGUAGGCUGCAACUCGCCUACAUGAAGCCGGAAUCGCUAGUAAUCGCGGAUCAGCACGCCGCGGUGAAUACGUUCCCGCCCUUUGUACACACCGCCCG